rnacentral:rRNA from 1 species
CAGUAGGGAAUCUUCCACAAUGGGCGCAAGCCUGAUGGAGCAACACCGCGUGAGUGAAGAAGGGUUUCGGCUCGUAAAGCUCUGUUGUUAAAGAAGAACACGUAUGAGAGUAACUGUUCAUACGUUGACGGUAUUUAACCAGAAAGUCACGGCUAACUACGUGCCAG